AUGCCAUGAUGUGGACACUUAACCAGUAUCCCUUUGAACCUUUCCUAUGUUUCUUGUAGUGUUUCAGCUGGUUUCUGCCUAAAGCUUAAUAUCUCAUCAACUUUCUU
rfam:Nicotiana attenuata strain TT chromosome 11, whole genome shotgun sequence.